rnacentral:rRNA from 1 species
GUGAGGAAUAUUGGUCAAUGGGCGUGAGCCUGAACCAGCCAAGUCGCGUGAGGGAAGACGGCCCUACGGGUUGUAAACCUCUUUUGUCAGGGAGCAACGGCCGCCACGUGUGGCGGAAAAGAGAGUACCUGAAGAAAAAGCAUCGGCUAACUCCGUGCCAGCAGCCGCGGUAAUACGGAGGAUGCGAGCGUUAUCCGGAUUUAUUGGGUUUAAAGGGUGCGUAGGCGGGAAGUUAAGUCAGCGGUAAAAUUGAGGGGCUCAACCCCUUCGAGCCGUUGAAACUGGCUUUCUUGAGUGGAAGAGAAGUAUGCGGAAUGCGUGGUGUAGCGGUGAAAUGCAUAGAUAUCACGCAGAACCCCGAUUGCGAAGGCAGCAUACCGGCUUCCGACUGACGCUGAAGCACGAAAGCGUGGGGAUCGAACAGGA